rnacentral:rRNA from 1 species
GACGAACGCUGGCGGCGUGCUUAACACAUGCAAGUCGAACGAUGACGACCGAGCUUGCUCGGUCUGAUUAGUGGCGAACGGGUGAGUAACACGUGAGCGACCUGCCCUUCACUCUGGGAUAACCUCGGGAAAUCGGGGCUAAUACCGGAUAUGAGCUCCUGUCGCAUGGCGGGUGCUGGAAAGUUUUUCGGUGAAGGAUGGGCUCGCGGCCUAUCAGUUUGUUGGUGAGGUAGUGGCUCACCAAGGCGAUGACGGGUAGCCGGCCUGAGAGGGCGACCGGCCACACUGGGACUGAGACACGGCCCAGACUCCUACGGGAGGCAGCAGUGGGGAAUAUUGCACAAUGGGCGAAAGCCUGAUGCAGCGACGCCGCGUGAGGGAUGACGGCCUUCGGGUUGUAAACCUCUUUCAGCAGGGAAGAAGCGAAAGUGACGGUACCUGCAGAAGAAGCGCCGGCUAACUACGUG